GACGAACGCUGGCGGCGUGCUUAACACAUGCAAGUCGAACGGUGAACUCCUCUUUCGGGGGGAUCAGUGGCGAACGGGUGAGUAACACGUGGGCAACCUGCCCUCAGCUCUUGGAUAACUCCAAGAAAUUGGGGCUAAUACCGGAUAUGACCGCUGACCGCAUGGUCUGGUGGUGGAAAGAUUUAUCGGCUGGGGAUGGGCCCGCGGCCUAUCAGCUUGUUGGUGGGGUAGUUGCCUACCAAGGCGACGACGGGUAGCCGGCCUGAGAGGGUGACCGGCCACACUGGGACUGAGAGACGGCCCAGACUCCUACGGGAGGCAGCAGUGGGGAAUAUUGCGCAAUGGGCGAAAGCCUGACGCAGCGACGCCGCGUGGGGGAUGACGGCCUUCGGGUUGUAAACCUCUUUCAGCAGGGACGAAGCGAAAGUGACGGUACCUGCAGAAGAAGCACCGGCAAACUACGUG
rnacentral:rRNA from 1 species